rnacentral:ncRNA from 1 species
CCGGAUCGCGCUGUCUACACGCUCCGGCAAUCUGUACGCCAGCCGCCCGUACGACACGGGGCGGCGCAGAUCAAAAAGG